GAUGAACGCUGGCGGCGUGCCUAAUACAUGCAAGUCGAGCGAACAGACGAGGAGCUUGCUCCUCUGACGUUAGCGGCGGACGGGUGAGUAACACGUGGAUAACCUACCUAUAAGACUGGGAUAACUUCGGGAAACCGGAGCUAAUACCGGAUAAUAUAUUGAACCGCAUGGUUCAAUAGUGAAAGACGGUUUUGCUGUCACUUAUAGAUGGAUCCGCGUCGCAUUAGCUAGUUGGUAAGGUAACGGCUUACCAAGGCAACGAUGCGUAGCCGACCUGAGAGGGUGAUCGGCCACACUGGAACUGAGACACGGUCCAGACUCCUACGGGAGGCAGCAGUAGGGAAUCUUCCGCAAUGGGCGAAAGCUUGACGGAGCAACGCCGCGUGAGUGAUGAAGGUCUUCGGAUCGUAAAACUCUGUUAUUAGGGAAGAACAAAUGUGUAAGUAACUAUGCACGUCUUGACGGUACCUAAUCAGAAAGCCACGGCUAACUACGU
rnacentral:rRNA from 1 species